GGGGCCGUAGUCUAGCCUGGAUAAGGCACCAGCCUGCGGAGUUGGUUAUCCCCGGUUCAAAUCCGGGCGGUCCCGCCA
rnacentral:tRNA from 1 species